AGCGAACGCUGGCGGCAGGCCUAACACAUGCAAGUCGAACGAAGUCUUCGGACUUAGUGGCGGACGGGUGAGUAACACGUGGGAACGUGCCUUUAGGUUCGGAAUAACUCAGGGAAACUUGUGCUAAUACCGAAUGUGCCCUUCGGGGGAAAGAUUUAUCGCCUUUAGAGCGGCCCGCGUCUGAUUAGCUAGUUGGUGAGGUAAAGGCUCACCAAGGCUACGAUCAGUAGCUGGUUUGAGAGGAUGAUCAGCCACACUGGGACUGAGACACGGCCCAGACUCCUACGGGAGGCAGCAGUGGGGAAUCUUAGACAAUGGGGGAAACCCUGAUCUAGCCAUGCCGCGUGAUCGAUGAAGGCCUUAGGAUUGUAAAAUACUUUCACCGGUGAAGAUAAUGACUGUAGCCGGAGAAGAAGCCCCGGCUAACUUCGUGCCAGCCGCCGCAGUAACAC
rnacentral:rRNA from 1 species